UGAGACUAAACGUUUAAGUGUGAAGAGAGAAGUUGACAGCUUUAACCUGACCAUCUCCAAGACAGAGUCAGGGGACUCAGCUACAUACUACUGUGGUGCUAUGGAAGAGGGCGACCUCAAAUUUGGAGAAGGAACUUUUGUAAUUGUCAAAGAUUCAGAGUCCAACAGCAUGUCUGUGCUCCAGCAGUCUGUGUCUGAGUCAGUCCAGCCAGGAGACUCUGUGUCUCUGAACUGUACAUUACACACUGAGACCUGUGCAGGAGAACACAGUGUCUAUUGGUUCAGACAUGGCUCAGGAGAAUCCCAUCCAGGAAUCAUUUACACCCUUAGACACAGGAGUGAGCAGUGUGAGAAGAGCCCUGAGGCUGGGUCUCCUACACAGAGCUGUGUCUACAACCUCCCCAAGAGGAACCUCAGCCUCUCUGAUGCUGGGACUUACUAUUGUGCUGUGGCCUCAUGUGGGGAGAUGCUGUUUGGGAAAGGGACCAAGCUGGAUGUUGAAGGGACCCCUUUUCAGCAAAGCCACUAUGGGAAUCCUCUUGCCAGCACUUCAGCACAACAGCUCCACAGUGACGAUGAUGGCCUGAACUACGCUGCCCUGAAGUUCACUGACAAGAAGAGUACCAAGCCCAAGAGACAGAGGAGAGAACAGAGAGAGGAAGAAACCAUCUACUCUGGUGUGAGUCAUCAAGUCAGGAUGUGACAGUCCUCCAAUCAGCAUCAUUUUAAGUUGAGCCCUACUGACCUCCACUUUGACCUUGACUGUGUCUGUGUGACUUGGCUGUUUUGUACUUUCCUCAUUUGCUAUACAAUGUAAUAGUCGGUUCUAGCUGUAACGACAUAGAAUCACUCAGAUGCAGAGCAUAAUUGUCCAGCAAGUGUGAAAGCUGAUACUAGGAUGGUUUCAGAAGUCUCAAAUACUCACCAAUAGUAGCUGAGGUUGACUGACUGGAUACAUUUGAUUUUGUGGAAGUGUACAACAAAAUGUAUAUAAUGAUUUUGCAAAUGUUUGAACUCUUCCCUUUGAUGAUAAUAGUUGUAACAUGGAACUCUGUAACCUGCCUAUAUGCGUGUGAUGGUUCAACAAACAUGAUUUUARUUCAUAUGUUUAAUGACUUGCCCAAUUCUUACCAUUAAUCUUAUGUUUGAAUUUCUUCCAAUUUGACAUGAGUGUUUUGUGUAGGUUGUUGACAAAAAAUGACAAUUAAAUCCAUUUGA